rnacentral:tRNA from 1 species
GUUAUAGUAGUUUAAGUAAAACAUUGGUCUUGUAAACCGAAAUAGAGAAAAUAAUUUCUCCUAAAACU